AGCGAACGCUGGCGGCAGGCUUAACACAUGCAAGUCGAGCGGGCAUCCUUGUGGUGUCCGCGGCAGACGGGUGAGUAACGCGUGGGAACGUGCCCUUCGGUUCGGAAUAACUCAGGGAAACUUGAGCUAAUACCGGAUACGCCCUUUUGGGGAAAGGUUUACUGCCGAAGGAUCGGCCCGCGUCUGAUUAGCUAGUUGGUGAGGUUACGGCUCACCAAGGCGACGAUCAGUAGCUGGUCUGAGAGGAUGAUCAGCCACACUGGGACUGAGACACGGCCCAGACUCCGACGGGAGGCAGCAGUGGGGAAUAUGGGACAAUGGGGGCAACCCUGAUCCAGCCAUGCCGCGUGAGUGAUAACAGCCUUAGGGUUGUAAAGCUCUUUUCGCCGGGACGAUAAUGACGGUACCGGAGGAAUAAGCCCCGGCUAACUUCGU
rnacentral:rRNA from 1 species